GAUGAACGCUGGCGGCAGGCCUAACACAUGCAAGUCGAACGUGAAGCCACCUUUGGGUGGUGGAAAGUGGCAGACGGGUGAGUAACGCGUGGGAACGUGCCUUUCGGUUCGGAAUAACCCAGGGAAACUUGGGCUAAUACCGGAUACGCCCUCCAGGGGAAAGAUUCAUCGCCGAAAGAUCGGCCCGCGUCGGAUUAGCUAGUUGGUAGGGUAAUGGCCUACCAAGGCGACGAUCCGUAGCUGGUCUGAGAGGAUGACCAGCCACACUGGGACUGAGACACGGCCCAGACUCCUACGGGAGGCAGCAGUGGGGAAUAUUGGACAAUGGGCGAAAGCCUGAUCCAGCCAUGCCGCGUGGGUGAAGAAGGCCCUAGGGUUGUAAACCCCUUUCAGCGGGGAAGAUAAUGACGGUACCCGCAGAAGAAGCCCCGGCUAACUCCGUGCCAGCAGCCGCCGUAA
rnacentral:rRNA from 1 species